ACGGGAGGCAGCAGUGGGGGAUAUUGCACAAUGGGGGGAACCCUGAUGCAGCGACGCCGCGUGGGUGAAGAAGUUUUUCGGAAUGUAAAGCCCUAUCAGCAGGGAUGAUAAUGACAGUACCUGACUAAGAAGCCCCGGCUAACUACGUGCCAGCAGCCGCGGUAAUACGUAGGGGGCAAGCGUUAUCCGGAUUCACUGGGUGUAAAGGGAGCGUAGACGGACCGACAAGUCUGAAGUGAAAUGUGGGGGCUCAACCCCCAAGCUGCUUUGGAAACUGCCGGACUUGAGUACCGGAGGGGCAGGCGGAAUUCCUGGUGUAGCGGUGAAAUGCGUAGAUAUCAGGAAGAACACCGGUGGCGAAGGCGGCCUGCUGGACGGUAACUGACGUUGAGGCUCGAAAGCGUGGGGAGCAAACAGGAUUAGAUACCCUGGUA
rnacentral:rRNA from 1 species